AGACCUGAUUUUUCAUGUGGCUUCCCCAUCAUUCAAAUAAUCAUGUGGAAAUCUUUCUCUCCUCCUAGCCACUCAUUAUAACAUUGCAUUCAAGUUUAUUGUCCUUUUGUCAAGGUGCCACACAUGAGCUUUGAUUAUUGUCCUUUUGUUUACCAAUAAGUCUAUGUGCACUGAAAAUAGUUCGCAACAUUUUCAAACCUUCUCUUUAUUGUUGUGGUGGGAUCAAAUAUAAGUGAGAUAGGGUGAAAAAUUUUAUUCCGAGCCGUAAAGCCACCGGCUUCUUAAAUGAUUUUUGUCCUAAUAACUUGGUAGGCCAUCGAGACCUGAUUUUCCAUGUAUUUCAUCGGUUAGCUUAGAAACAGAUAGAGAAUUCAAUGCUAGUUAUCCCCAAGAUAGGGAUUGCAAUAGAAAGAUGCUACCUAAUAAGUCUAUGUGCACUGGAUAUAGUUCACAACAUUUUCAAACCUUCGGUUUAUUGUUAUGGUGGGCUUAAAUAUAAGUGAGAUAGGGUGUAAAAUUUUCUUCCGUAGCCGUAAAGCCACCAGCUUCUUAAAUGAAUUUUGUCCUAAUAACUUGGUAGGCCAUCGAGACUUGAUUUUCCAUGUGGCUUCCCCAUCAUUCAAAUAAUCAUGUGGAAGUCUUUCUCUCCUCCUAGCCACUCAUUAUAACAUUGCAUCCAAGUUUAUUGUCCUUUUGUCAAGGUGCCACACAUGAGUUUUAAUUAUUGUCCUUUUGUUUACCAAUAAGUCUAUGUGCACUGGAAAUAGUUCGCAACAUUUUCAAACCUUCUCUUUAUUGUUGUGGUGGGAUCAAAUAUAAGUGAGAUAGGGUGUAAAAUUUUCUUCCGAGCCAUAAAGCCACCGGCUUCUUAAAUGAUUUUUGUCCUAAUAACUUGGUAGGCCAUCGAGACCUGAUUUUCCAUGUAUUUCAUCGGUUAGCUUAGAAUCAGAUAGAGAAUUCAAUGCUAGUUAUCCCCAAGAUAGGGAUUGCAAUAGAAAGAUGCUACCUAAUAAGUCUAUGUGCACUGGAUAUAGUUCACAACAUUUUCAAACCUUCUGUUUAUUGUUGUGGUGGGCUCAAAUAUAAGUGAGAUAGGGUGUAAAAUUUUCUUUCGUAGCCGUAAAGCCAUCGGCUUCUUAAAUGAUUUUUGUCCUAAUAACUUGGUAGGCCAUCGAGACCUGAUUUUCCAUGUAUUUCAUCGGUUAGCUUAGAAACAGAUAGAGAAUUCAAUGCUAGUUAUCCCCAAGAUAGGGAUUGCAAUAGAAAGAUGCUACCUAAUAAGUCUAUGUGCACUGGAUAUAGUUCACAACAUUUUCAAACCUUCUGUUUAUUGUUAUGGUGGGCUCAAAUAUAAGUGAGAUAGGGUGUAAAAUUUUCUUCCGUAGCCAUAAAGCCACCGGCUUCUUAAAUGAUUUUUGUCCUAAUAACUUGGUAGGCCAUCGAGACCUGAUUUUCCAUGUAUUUCAUCGGUUAGCUUAGAAACAGAUAGAGAAUUUAAUGCUAGUUAUCCCCAAGAUAGGGAUUGCAAUAGAAAGAUGCUACCUAAUAAGUCUAUGUGCACUGGAUAUAGUUCACAACAUUUUCAAACCUUCUGUUUAUUGUUGUGGUGGGCUCAAAUAUAAGUGAGAUAGGGUGUAAAAUUUUCUUUCGUAGCCGUAAAGCCAUCGGCUUCUUAAAUGAUUUUUGUCCUAAUAACUUGGUAGGCCAUCGAGACCUGAUUUUCCAUGUAUUUCAUCGGUUAGCUUAGAAACAGAUAGAGAAUUCAAUGCUAGUUAUCCCCAAGAUAGGGAUUGCAAUAGAGAGAUGCUACCUAAUAUACCAUGAAACGAAGCAAAAAUUCUAGAAUUAGAAUUUUUGCCACAAUUACCUGUAUGACAAAUUGUGAGUGGUGGAGAAAAAAUGGUGAGUCCAUAUUAAAGUGAUGAGUAGUCAAUCACAAUUUUCCAUAUAAAAUAAUUGCGUUAAAAGUUGUGA